AUAUAUUUUUUAUAAUUCUUUAAAUAAGAGUAAAACUAUCAUUUAAAAUCAUUUACUCCUAAUUAAAGAUAAAGUAAACAUAUAAAUUGAAUUCUGAUUCUGAUUCCAUAUUCUCAUUUUAGUGUAGGCGAAUAACUUACUGCUAUUCUCACGUCACACUCUCAAUCCCAUGAUUCACGUUCCAAUUUAAGAUGUAAAUGCUACCUUAUAGUAGUAUUCAAAUGUGAAGGAUGUCUCCAUGUAUGUGUGUGUCUAUAAUGAGUGAUCUUAUUUUAGUAAAAGGGAAAGAAACACAUAUUUCAUUAUAAUAUUUUUUUAUCCGAAUUUGUAAUUGAUUAUUUUAUUUUCGUCUUUAUUUUAUUAAAAUAAAAAUCUCCUCAUUAAAUUAUGAUUGAUUAUAUAUAUAUAUAUAUAUAUAUAUAUGAACAAGAGUGCAAGACCGAGAGGGGAUUGUCAAGUUGGGCAAUCAUAGAGACGUAAAAUUGAAGAAAGCAAAAAAAAUAGGGAAGGGGAAAAAAUGAGAAAAAAAAAUGAUUGGCUUUUGAUUUUGUAUCCUUCGAGAUUCCUUGGCUCAAUAAUGGAAUCAAGCUCUCAUGGGCCACUGGAUAUUCGUGUAUCAAUUAUAGAUAAUUGGAUCCACUACAUCUCCCACCGUUUGCUCCAUUAAUAGUUUCAAGCUGCCUUAGCUAAACUUAUCGCUUUGUCCCAUGUCAUAAUCUUCAGUUGGCUGUGACCCUUUUUUCAGUCAUUAGCUUUGCUUUUGAGAUCCUUCGUGGCUAAUGGCUUCAUCUCUAACCAUAAAAAUUUACAGCUCCCAUGCCAACCGUCAUUCAUGGCUUUCAUUAUCGCGUAAUGCUAGAUAUAUAAUAAUAUAUCACUUUAAAUUCUUGUGGGCGUUCGUUAUCUUGUAAAAUCUCUUUGCUUGGUAGAUUAGGUUGCUUAUUAGUCAAUACCAGAACAAAAUAAAAAUUAAAAAAAAAAAAAACUUAAACUUAAAAUAUGUCGAGAUAUUAUUACGCGAUAAAAUUAUAUAGCUUGCAUGUUUCGAGAGUUUGAGUAAUCUCGGAAACAAAACAGUCUCUUACAGCAAGUUAUACAAAUUAUUCGGAGUUUCAAAGUUUCGCCUUACCACGCAAAGUUGGGGGGGUUCGGUUCCGCAUUUGAUUGCUUCCAUAGUUCAAUUCUUCGAUGGUCUAUUCAUACUAGAACUGACAAUACCAACUUUAUGGGCUACCAACUUCAUUAUUGAGGCAUUUGAUCUGUUUUUAAUGCGCAUAAUUAAGAUGGGUUGGAAGCCGAAACAUACAAAUUUUCGUUAUCAGAUGAUGUAAAACAUCACAAAUGAAUACAGCAUUGGCCAUAUUGUUUCCUUGACUUUUCAAAUCAGUCGGGCGGCUACGCUCUCCACUCAAACAGAAUUGAGAGUGACAAUUAGCUGAACUUUUAAAUAAUUUAUACAUACGGCCACUUAUUGAAUUCGAAGUUGAAAAUUUUAUACAUUUAUGCAUCCACUUAAGUAUAUCAUGAAUAUACUGCGAUUACAUCCAUGUUCUGUGAAUGGAAUUGCCACUUGUAAUUCUUAUCUCCAUUUCUAAAGCAGACAAGACAGAAGAAAUCAAAACAAAGAAAAAAAAAAAUCUUAUAAUUCCAUAAGCAUUGAGUUCAAUUGUAUUGACAUGCUUAAUUCUUGUUAAAUCAAUAACCUCAUCCAUACUUUUAGGCCAGUCCUAAAAAUAAAAUAAUGUCCUCAUCUCCACCCAUUCUAGCUAAUUCAUUAGUUAAAAAAAAAAAAAAGAAAUUAUCGUUGCACCACUUCUAUUUUACCUUAUGUUCAUCCAACCACCACAAAAUUCUAACAUGUUU
rnacentral:lncRNA from 1 species